AUUGAACGCUGGCGGCAUGCCUUACACAUGCAAGUCGAACGGCAGCACGGGUGCUUGCACCUGGUGGCGAGUGGCGAACGGGUGAGUAGUACAUCGGAACGUACCUUAUCGUGGGGGAUAACGCAGCGAAAGUUGCGCUAAUACCGCAUACGCCCUGCGGGGGAAAGCGGGGGACCGUAAGGCCUCGCGCGAUUAGAGCGGCCGAUGUCUGAUUAGCUUGUUGGUGAGGUAAAAGCUCACCAAGGCGAUGAUCAGUAGCUGGUCUGAGAGGACGAUCAGCCACACUGGGACUGAGACACGGCCCAGACUCCUACGGGAGGCAGCAGUGGGAAUUUUGGACAAUGGGGGCAACCCUGAUCCAGCAAUGCCGCGUGAGUGAAGAAGGCCUUCGGGUCGUAAAGCUCUUUUGUCAGGGAAGAAACAGCAGCUCUAACACAGUCUGCGAAUGACGGUACCUGAAGAAUAAGCACCGGCUAACUACGUGCCAGCAGCCGCCGUAA
rnacentral:rRNA from 1 species